rnacentral:misc_RNA from 1 species
CCUCGCCAAGGCGGUUUUUGUUGGAGAAACUUCCAGUUGCUUUGGCUAGUUCUUCAUAGGUGUACGUUGGAACACCUUCCACUGCACUGUCAUUAGCUGCUUGUAUUGGAAUUGGUCUUUCCUCUGCUCCGGGUUGGCGAUUAGCGUCUCCCCUCCCUUUUGCACAACCCGCAAAAGUAAGAUCCAGGCAUGGCUGCCCACCAGGUUUCUUGCUUGUGUGCUGUAAAACCACUUGCUUAUUAGGAUGUGAGAGAGAGAGAGAGAGAGAGAG